AUUAUCUCACCAUUGACUCCGAGUUGAUUGGAUGGAUGCAGAGAGUGUACAGAAGAGCCUUUAGAGCUUCAUACAAUUGUGGACAUCUAAUAACUGCUCUGAUUGGAUUUAAACAUUUGCAGUGGGGUACUUCUGGCUUUGUGUAUGUAGAAGUGGUGUCUAAAAGAGUCAACUGCUUCACCACAGGACUUUUAUACUUCUCAUGAAAUACAGUCCUUCAAAAGGCAAAUUCUCUAUUUCCCCCACUUUGAUUAUCUGCUUAUGCUCCUAAAAUAAUGUAAAUAUGGUCAUUAGUCAUCUACAACAUUGUCAAUUAGGAGAGUAAAGCCAGUAAUGAACUCUACAUCCCUGACCUCAUAUGGUAUGUUGCAUUUUAAGAGAGCUGUUUUUAUCAAUGACAAUCCUAUUAUUUGUGCUCAUAACCUGGGCUCUACAUCCAGUGAGAGGAUUUUGAUACAGAAUCUUUAUUUGAAGAGAACUACACAAAAACACCACCACCAUCAUACCUGAUGUCUGCUAUUGUUGAAAUAGGCUUCAGCACUAUAGUUGGUGGAAACCAGGUCACCAAAGACACUGCCCUUGUACCUGGAAGGCCCGUCCCUUCCCCCAUUCACACAGUGAAUUCAUUUAGAAGAGAGGAAUGCAGUAGACAGAGUCAUUAGAAAACCCUUCAUGACUGUGAUGUGGAAAAGGGCUGGCAAGGAUCACAAACAGCUUUCCUGGGUUUGGUCUUAUAGCAUGGACUUCUUCACCCUCAUCUACAUGUAAAAUUUAUUAACUUCAAGGAGAGGAGAUCAGGGUUGCCUCUACCUUGCAUUCCUAUGUAGCCGUGAAUUAAUUCCCAAAUGCCAGUGUGAGCCUGUUUUCCUUUUCAUACAUCGUAUUUGAGGAAACAGCUGGAAAUAUUACUCUGUGUGCCACACAUCCCGAUUCAGCACAAUCUCUUGUUCCCAGAGUGGAGUAAAUGAGUAAAGAAAUUAUUCAUCCGCCCUUCACCUAACUUGGUGUGUGAACAAUAAAUUCUCUCAAGAUUGAUUCAGGUUCCUAUAUUCAUGGAAAC
rnacentral:lncRNA from 1 species